UACGUAGGUGGCGAGCGUUGUCCGGAUUUACUGGGCGUAAAGGGCGUGCAGGCGGUUUGUUAAGUGCAGGGUGAAAGCUCCCGGCUCAACUGGGAGAGGUCCUUGCAUACUGGCGAACUCGAGGGAGGCAGAGGAAAGUGGAAUUCCCGGUGUAGUGGUGAUAUGCGUAGAUAUCGGAAGGAACACCUGUGGCGAAAGCGGCUCACUGGACCAUAACUGACGCUGAGGCACGAAAGCUAGGGGAGCAAACAGG
rnacentral:rRNA from 1 species